AGGAUCAUGAAGAGCACGAGCUGCCUGAGUUGGAUCCUCACAUCCACAGAGAAGAAUAGAAUUGACUCCUGAAAGUUGGCCUCUGACUUCACAUGUGCCAUGACGGAAGAGCAGCAGCUGUCCAGGACUCUUCCAGUGCCACAUUGGGACUGCUGAGAUAUCCAACCUCGUGUAUUGAACAACUACCAGAAUCUUGGCCUUUCCAGCAUGAGCUAGUCAUUGUUGUUGGACUACCCACUUAGACUGCAUCCUCUGCUCGUUCGGAUUGUCAGAUUGCUGGAUUCGAUCUCUGUCCACCGUUCAAGAAGAAAAUUCUGAUUUAGUUCUCCCAUACUGAUUUCCAUAGUGGCUUCUCCAGUUUGCAAUCCCAACAGCAGAUGAGGGGUCUCCUGUCCCCUAAACCUGCGCUGCAUUUGUUGUCUGCUGUCGCCGUUCUCUUGUUCUUAGCUGUUCUGAGUGAGCACAGGUCUGGAUCACAGCAACACACGAAUAGAGACUCCUAAGGGAAAUUUCUCAGGAUACACAACCAACAGCUUUGGGCUUCAUUUUGCACUGACAGAGGUCUGUUUUAUCUGCAAUAUUCUAAUCAGUGGAAGAAAAAGUAGUUCGACUGAGCUGAACUGAAUACUGCCUUCCUGGCGUUUGAAACUGGAAGAGAUGACAGAGGAACUGAAACAGCUUCAGCCUGUGUUCUUGCAGCAUGGGCCCAGUAUAUCUCUUGUUCCAGGUGCAUUCCUGGUUCUACAGGUGCGUCUUCCCAGCCUUCCAAGGCUUUGUCUCACUUUCUGUCCUUUCGUCUGUCCAUGUCACUGCGACUUUAAAAUCUACGCCUCUCUGCCUCCUCCCUAUCCCAGGAACAACCCAGUGUCUCAGAACUCUUUAGCAUCUUUUUCUUUCUAGUACCUAUCAGGAGAUAGUUUUUCUAUGACUGAAAGGAAAUUUUUCUUGAACAAAAGCAAAACAAAAGAAAAAAUUCUUUAAGGCAAAUGGAGGGCUGGUGUUGUAAAUGAGUGAGCGGAAAGAAGGGCCUGAGGGUGGACUCACGAGGAGAACAAGGUUAAAUUAAAACUGGAGACUGGCCCAGUCAGGGAGGUGUCGCUAAGAUGAGCAGGUAUGUGGUUGAGAAAUGGGAGAGAGAGAGAAGCAGAGCGCUCGCACCCUGUGGAGAGCAGCAGGACUGAAGAUGCCCCAGCAAUGAGGAACAGGAUGAUAUGGGUGGCUGGUGCUCCCACCUGGGGCCAUAUGAUGUCCAGGCCUGGGUUGCUGCUGAGGACCGUGUCUGGAUCUGUGGCCCUACCACAGCUGGGGUCUGUGUGGACGUCCAUGACCCAUUACCACUGAAGAGCAUACAGAUACCUGUGGUCUGGGCCCACACCUGAGGCCAUGUUGAAGUCUGCGGGCCAGUCCGUCAGUGGGGAUAUACUAAUCUGAGUGCCCUGUACUGCCAUGGUGAUAGCCAGGCCCAAGCUGCAGCCAAGGUCCCUGCCGGGGUCCAUGGUGGUCGGUGUUGAUGUCCAUGGCACAUGUUGUCACCCAAAGCAGUGCAGUCUGGGUUGCUGCCUGAGGCCAUGUUGGUAUUCAAGGGACACACUGCCACUGGGUCCAUACCCAACUGUGCUGCCUCCCAGGGACAUGGUGACAUCUGGACCCAAGCUGCAGCUGAGGGCCAUGUCUGGGUUCAUGACAUGUGGUCUGGGUCAUGAACCAGACCAGAGACAUCACCCAGAGACUGUGGUGAUGUCUCUGGCCCACAUUAUUACCAGGGCCCAUGGGAAAGUAGCUCCUUCCCAGCAGCCUCAGCAAGAGAGCUCCCUGCCCCCAGAAUUGGCCCCAGUGACAUGGGCACCCGAUAGCUGACCCUGGGAAAAUCACUGACCUCUCACUGACAGAGGCAACAGGAGAGGGGGCCCUGCAUGAGAAAAAGCUGAUCUCAUCCCCCACCAUAGUGAGGGAGAGCUGGCCCUGACUCUCACCUCAGGCGGGCACUCCCAAUGCAGGCCUGGACUGAUCAACUCAGCUACCACCCCCACCCACCUCUAGGGCUUUGAGUUGACCCACUCCAACAUCUACUACCUACCUGCUAGAGCACAUGAAGAGUCUGGUCCUGCAAAGCAACAGCCACAAAACUUCUAUGAGUUGAGGCAACAGCAGAAUAUCCCAGAGGAAUUUUGAUGAGGGUCCAGGGCUGAUGGUGUACCAAAAGCCAGAGGUCUUGAUCCUGACCAACACAAAAUAAAGCUGUUUGGGCAGAAAUACUUCCUGGCACACCGCAGCUCUCAAGGCUGCUACAACAAAUGAAUAUGUGAUGGAGAAGCAUGAAAGACUGAGGAGUAAAGUGCUUUUUUUAAAAAAAAAAUCUUCUUUUAGUAAGGGAGGCUACAAGGGUGGAGGUCAGACAUGGAAGGCCUGGAAAGUGAGUGGCAUUGGCGUGCAUUACAUGUAAUUCCCAAAGAAUCAAUAAAAAUUAUGUUAAUAUAAAAUAUUAAAAAUGCAAAAGAAGUGUCAACAAA